GCCAGACUUUGUUGUGUGUCCUUCCUGCCGGCCAGGAGUGACACCGACAGACUAGAUAUUUACUAAUUUCCAAAUCUACUUAUGAAGAAUUUUAUGUGCACUAUAUAAGGCAUAUUUUUUUCCUAUUAGUCUUGCCUUCAACAGAGUUACUGGUUGCUAACUGGAAGACAGAUAUUUUUUCUCCGUACACAUUCCGUUCGAUUUAGUGCUUUUAUGCUAUUUAAUUUCUAGGUGAAGACAAAGAUUGUUUUUCAUCUUUUUUCGAGAUGAUGAGCAUUUACCUGGCUAGAAGGACUUCACAGCUCUGCUACUUGAUAUUAAUGAUAGAAAAAUUUAAAAUGAGUUCUUAUGAAGAAAGAAUUGCGUCUUUCCCUUCAAGGAGGGUAAAGAGCAUGAGACUAUCCUUCCCAGAGACUGACCUGUAAACCCCUCAUAUCCUGGGGUCUGCAGUACUGUCUGGAUGGACAGAGCCCUGAGCACUGUAUCCUUGCUGCAGAUGUAGAUUUUCCGAGGGAGCCUUGUACCCAAUGCUGCACACAGCAUGGACUUUAGCUCUAUUGUUUCCCCCAGAUACAGAGGACGAUUUAUACCACUGGGCUCACAUGAGAAGCCUCCCACAAUGCUCUUCACUCUUUCUGCACCACUGCACCCACCAGGGAAUUUGCAUUUUAUCCCCAGGGAGGACCUACCCAGGCAAGUUUCAGAUAAAAGCUGGCUCUAGCUGUGCCUUGACUGAUCAGGACUCUUCAGUUCAGUUUCUCAAAAUGAAGCUACCACUUCAGCUCCUGGGGCUGCUACUGCUCCCGGUACGGAUACCGGGAGAUGUGGAAGGGCAGGGGACGAGAGGGUGAAUUUCUGGAUCCCACCGCUCCCUGGGUUAAUGACUACAGAAGAGAUUGAUUAUCGCACAACAUUGGACCUCUGAGUCACUGGAUGACUCGAGUGUACCGUUAUUCCUAUUUCAUCUGUCGGAAACAGCCUCAGAAGGAACAUAGUGUGCAAGACCAUUUGUUUUCUUCCUUGCGCUGGAUCCCCAGGGCUCUUCCCAUCAUUUGAACGGCACCUCCCAUCCUCCUCAUCUUCAGUCUAUUAGAGCAUACGCACCGAAGCUCUGCUGUCUGUGCUCUGACAUUAUAGGCAUGGGAUUCUGCUGUCACUGAAUAUUCUGGCCGCGGAAUACAACUACUGACAAAACACACACAAGCACACACCCACAGAGAGAAACUCAUACACAAACACACACAAUCAGAUCGUUCCUCAAAUACUACAUAGCCACAGUGUAAAAUAGCUAUAACUGUAGUUAUUAAGCAAAAUAUACUGAAAUUUUUAAAAAUCAAUAUUUUACUUUAUCUAAAACGUUGCUCUCUUGUGUGAAAUCUGUUUUUUCAUAUUGAAGUUGUUAUAUUAAUUUUGGUAUUAUUUAUUCUUCAAUCAAGAUGCUAGUCAGAUGACCCAAGGAAUAUUGGCAUCCUUCCUUCAAUUUUGCCUUAAGAUAAAUGCUGCAUGACCCACACACUAAUCUGGCCCAGGAGCUCAAAGCACAGGGAUGAUUUUACAGAGCUCAUAAAGAGGAGACUGCGAGUGAUGGGCAGUGCCUUGUCACUGUGUCAGGACUCACCCUGGGGAAGGAAAACUUCUAAUGUGAAAACACAGGGUGAUUGAUGGCAACCCCAGAGACCUUCACAGACACACAAAGUGCAUUAGACUGUGGAUUGCACUGCCUGGUGAGUGAUACAGAUUUGGUCAUCUGUGUUUGGGAAGGAGACAUUUUGCAGAGGAAACAACUGAGCUUCUGACUGAGAAAAACUGUGCCUCCAUGUACUGGCUCCCACCUAAUUUCAAGCCCACAGAAAUGUUACCGACUGCUACAGGCUGAACAAGUCUGGUAUCAGCCUCAAGGUCAGAAACCAUCCUGAGCUUCGGGGAAAAUAAAGUUGAGGCUCGAUGAGUCUAUACACCACCUCAGCAUAAAGUGACUGCUGGCUUGGUGAGAUAAAUCAACAUGGAUCUGGACUCUGUCUCUACAUAGUCUCUACUAGGGAUAGCAGAGACACAACUGGGAGUAGAGUUUUUAUCUCUCUAUCUACCAUGACUUAUUUUUUCUUUAUUUUUUGAUUUUUUUAUAUGAAUGUAAACAUGGUUUCCAGUUUUCUUGGGGUAGAGGUUCUGUUCUUUUCAUUCUCUGAUUUCUGCUCUUUCCUUGCUAUCUUUUGCACCACGUUCUGAAAAUUGGAGUGAUUCUCCUUUGUCUACCAGCCCUGCUUCUAAUCUCUUCCUUUCCAUCUGUUUCUCUAUUUUUUCUACUAACUGCUCUUACAUUUUCUCCUCUGAAAUUUACAUUAAUAUAUUUAGAGUUUAUACACUGCA